UGAUGAUGAGGAGGGAAAUUACUAAGCAUACACUUGAAUAUUUCCCAAGCUUGGUAAGUAUUUUCUCAAUCCUUUUGCCUGAAACUUAGAAUCUUACUUCUCAAAUA
rfam:Capsicum annuum cultivar Zunla-1 chromosome 7, whole genome shotgun sequence